rnacentral:rRNA from 1 species
GGCCUAACACAUGCAAGUCGAGCGGUAACAGAUCCAGCUUGCUGGAUGCUGACGAGCGGCGGACGGGUGAGUAAUGCAUAGGAAUCUGCCCGAUAGUGGGGGAUAACCUGGGGAAACCCAGGCUAAUACCGCAUACGUCCUACGGGAGAAAGGGGGCUCCGGCUCCCGCUAUGGGAUGAGCCUAUGUCGGAUUAGCUAGUUGGUGAGGUAACGGCUCACCAAGGCCACGAUCCGUAGCUGGUCUGAGAGGAUGAUCAGCCACAUCGGGACUGAGACACGGCCCGAACUCCUACGGGAGGCAGCAGUGGGGAAUAUUGGACAAUGGGGGAAACCCUGAUCCAGCCAUGCCGCGUGUGUGAAGAAGGCCCUCGGGUUGUAAAGCACUUUCAGCGAGGAAGAACGCCUAGCGGUUAAUACCCGCUAGGAAAGACAUCACUCGCAGAAGAAGCACCGGCUAACUCCGUGCCAGCAGCCGCGGUAAUACGGAGGGUGCAAGCGUUAAUCGGAAUUACUGGGCGUAAAGCGCGCGUAGGUGGCUUGAUAAGCCGGUUGUGAAAGCCCCGGGCUCAACCUGGGAACGGCAUCCGGAACUGUCAAGCUAGAGUGCAGGAGAGGAAGGUAGAAUUCCCGGUGUAGCGGUGAAAUGCGUAGAGAUCGGGAGGAAUACCAGUGGCGAAGGCGGCCUUCUGGACUGACACUGACACUGAGGUGCGAAAGCGUGGGUAGCAAACAGGAUUAGAUACCCUGGUAGUCCACGCCGUAAACGAUGUCGACCAGCCGUUGGGUGCCUAGCGCACUUUGUGGCGAAGUUAACGCGAUAAGUCGACCGCCUGGGGAGUACGGCCGCAAGGUUAAAACUCAAAUGAAUUGACGGGGGCCCGCACAAGCGGUGGAGCAUGUGGUU